GGGGGACCUUCGGGCCUCUUGCCAUCAGAUGUGCCCAGAUGGGAUUAGCUUGUUGGUGAGGUAACGGCUCACCAAGGCGACGAUCCCUAGCUGGUCUGAGAGGAUGACCAGCCACACUGGAACUGAGACACGGUCCAGACUCCUACGGGAGGCAGCAGUGGGGAAUAUUGCACAAUGGGCGCAAGCCUGAUGCAGCCAUGCCGCGUGUAUGAAGAAGGCCUUCGGGUUGUAAAGUACUUU
rnacentral:rRNA from 1 species